rnacentral:piRNA from 1 species
UGAGUCCAAAGUGGUUGCUACUUCCU